rnacentral:rRNA from 1 species
CCUACGGGAGGCAGCAGUGAGGAAUAUUGGUCAAUGGACGAGAGUCUGAACCAGCCAAGUAGCGUGAAGGAUGACUGCCCUAUGGGUUGUAAACUUCUUUUAUAUGGGAAUAAAAUGUUCCACGUGUGGGAUUUUGUAUGUACCAUAUGAAUAAGGAUCGGCUAACUCCGUGCCAGCAGCCGCGGUAAUACGGAGGAUCCGAGCGUUAUCCGGAUUUAUUGGGUUUAAAGGGAGCGUAGGUGGAUUGUUAAGUCAGUUGUGAAAGUUUGCGGCUCAACCGUAAAAUUGCAGUUGAAACUGGCAGUCUUGAGUACAGUAGAGGUGGGCGGAAUUCGUGGUGUAGCGGUGAAAUGCUUAGAUAUCACGAAGAACUCCGAUUGCGAAGGCAGUUCACUGGACUGCAACUGACACCGAGGCUCGAAAGUGUGGGUAUCAAACAGGAUUAGAUACCCGAGUAGUC